UUGACCUGCCGGACCUGACUGCUAUCGUAUUGGUACUAAGCCAUGCGAGUCGUUGUACAAUACAAGGCGGACUGCUCAGUAACACGUAGUUAACUUAACCUAUGGAUGGGCAUAACCUCGGGAAACUGAGAAUAAUACCCAAUGGACCACAGUGCCUGGAAUGGCCUGUGGUUGAAAUGAUUUAUCGCCGUAGGAUAGGACUGCGGCCUAUCAGCUUGUUGGUGAGGUAAUGGCCCACCAAGGCUAUAACAGGUACGGGCUCUGAGAGGAGGGGCCCGGAGAUGGGUACUGAGACACGGACCCAGGCCCUAUGGGGCGCAGCAGGCGAGAAACCUUUGCAAUGUGCGAAAGCACGACAAGGUUAAUCCGAGUGUCUCCUGCUAAAGGAGUCUUUUGUCAGUUGUAGAAUCACUGGUGAAUAAGGGGUGGGCAAGUUCUGGUGUCAGCCGCCGCGGUAAAACCAGCACCUCGAGUGGUCAGGAGGUUUAUUGGGCCUAAAGCAUCCGUAGCCGGUUGCAUAAGUUUUCGGUUAAAUCUAUGCGCUUAACGUAUAGGCCGCCGAAAAUACUGUGCAGCUAGGGAGUGGGAGAGGUACACGGUACU
rnacentral:rRNA from 1 species